rnacentral:rRNA from 1 species
UACGGGGGGAGCAAGCGUUGUUCGGAUUUACUGGGCGUAAAGGGCGCGUAGGCGGCGUAACAAGUCACUUGUGAAAUCUCCGGGCUUAACCCGGAGCGGCCAAGUGAUACUGUUGUGCUAGAGUGCGGAAGGGGCUACUGGAAUUCUCGGUGUAGAGGUAAAAUUCGUUGAUAUCAAGAAGAACACCAGUGGCGAAGGCGGGUCUCUGGGCCGUAACUGACGCUGAGGAGCGAAAGCGUGGGGAGCGAACAGG